rfam:Rhizobiales bacterium TMED83 154581, whole genome shotgun sequence.
GGGGCCAUAGCUCAGUUGGGAGAGCGCUUGCAUGGCAUGCAAGAGGUCGGCGGUUCGAACCCGCCUGGCUCCA